UGUUUUGUUUUGUUUUAAUUUUAGAAAGAAAGUGCAAGGAAGGGAGAGAGAGAGAGAGAGAGAGAGAGAGAGAGAGAGAGAGAGACUCCCAAGCAGGAUCCACACUCAGCACAGAGCCCGAUGCAGGGCUCAAUCCAAUGACCCUGAGAUCAUGACCUGAGCCGAAAUCAAGAGUCAGAUGCCCAACCAAAUGAGCCGCCCAAGCGCCCCUCUUCUGCAUUUCUGUUUACAUGCACGGACUGUGGAAGCUCAUGGUGCACUUAAGCUUUGUAACCUAACUCAAAAAGAGGUGCAGUAUAAGAAAUGUGCUGAAUCUAUGUGUAGCCAACUGCCAUCUACACAAGCACAUAGAUCUUACACAGACUUGGAGACCUGGCCGAUUAUAAAUGAAGCAGGGAAAAAAUCUUUCAGAACCAGUAGGACUCGGCAAAGAAUGACUUAAAAAAAAAAAGAAUGCUCAGGGGGCGCCAGGGUGGCUCAGUCAGUUGAGCAGCCGGCUUCGGCUCAGGUCCUGAUCUCACAGUUCGUGGGUUCGAGUCCCACGUCAGGCUUUGUGCUGACAGCUCAGAGCCUGGAGCCUGCUUCAGAUUCUGGGCCUCCUUCUCUCUCUGCCCCUCCCCUGGCUCACACUCUGUGUCUCUCUGUCUCUCAAUAAUAAAUAAGCAUUAAAAAAAAAAAGAAUGAUGACUUAGGAGUUCCACCUUUGGUGCUCUGCUUAGCAGAGGCUAACAGUUCGAACUUUCCCUUUUGAGAAGAAAGUCAGCUCAGAACAAGCUCUCACCAUCUCUUCUCCAUCAUUUUUCCCUUUUGAGAUCAACACACACACACACACACCCCUCUUUUCUGACCUCUGAGCGGAGUUUGGGGUUAUUUUGAUUACAUAAUAAAAUUCCGCUCAUUUUGAACAUUGGCGUAGUUCGCUUCAGAGGUGUAGCCUUCGAAAGGGCAGGGCCUUUUCGUACAUUCGUCUUCAGAUUGCUUCUACAUCCUGUUUCACGUGUGGUUACAUCAGCUGAUGAGUCGUGAUGUUUUGCUAUUUCAAAUGACAGAAAUAGAGACUCAACCACACAGAGGGAGCCUUUCGAAUGUUUACCAAACGUGGCUCAAAAACAUGCUUUUCUCUGGUUCAGACGCUUUUUAUGAAAGAGGCGUGUGAGGCUGUGCGUGAGGACAGCUGUCUACGGAAGGCAGGUGGGAUCGACGGGUUUCAUGGACUUGGCUGCAAUGCACAGGUCUCAACACUACAAACUGCCCUGUCUCAUAAAGCCCUGCCCAUCGCAAUGUUGGUUACAAAAAAGUGGCAGGACUUAGAACAUAAAAGGCCCCUUUUUCUGGUCUGUCCAUCACUUUGAAUGCUUCAUCAUAAGUUCAGGGGUCAGCUGACCUGCAGAAUAAGAGGCCAGAAGCUGUGGCUGGUUGAAACACAGCUGAAGUAGCAAUUUUAAACAUUUUAUAUUAGAGCGCGCGAGUGGGGGAGAGGGGCAGAGGGAGAGAGAAUCUCAAGCAGGUUCCAUGCUCAGCGUGGAGCCCAACGCGGGGCUUGAUCCCACGAUCCUGGGAUCGUGACCUGAGCCGAAAUCAAGAGUCAGACAACCUAACAGAGCCACCCAGGCGCCCCGGAAGUGGAAAGAUUUUUUAAAUAACGGGAAAAUAUUUCUCAAGAUAAUGUCGCUUAAGUACAACAGCAUAAAUACUUCCUAUUUUGCAACACUGGUUCUUGGUCUCUCCCACUUCAGUCUGAAUUAAGGAAAACAACUCUAGUCAGAGAACCACUGAGUCUUUAAAUUGUUUUGUUUCUAGAAACUAAGAGCACAUACCGAAGCUUUACUUGGCCAAUCUGAUACAUCCUGAACCAGCGCGGAAGCUACUCUUUCUGACGGAAUCAGCCACCCGGGGACAUUUCCAAAGCCAAACCACCCGCCAGGGCUAACACACAAACAAGACGAGCCCAACACAGGCAGCGAGGGGCCGGGCCCGGCUUGCACCCAGUGAUGUCAAGCAAUAGCCUCUCGUGCCCAAAUUAAGAAUCCCAAACAGGUGAGGGGUUCUGGCCACUGAGCAGACCUGUCAGCACAUCCUGAGCCUCACGGCCGACAGGUCCAACCCUAUCAUGACCUCCCCGGAGCCAGCCUCACCUGGUCCUUGGUGCUCAGUUCCUGGGCAUCUGAUGUCCAGUGCCACCAAGCUCCAAGCGGAACAGAGCACACGACACCUGCAUGUUUAGAAUGACCCGGCAUAUGACCCUCAAAAAAGCAGGGAGGCCACAAAAGGAGCUGCUCUGACCUGGGUUUGCACAGAGAAAACCCUCAGUAUAAAAAGACUGCACUGAAUUGCCCUAACUCACUUCUCAGCAUUCACGUUAAAAAAGGCUUUAGAUUGUAUGUUUUCUACAAGUCACCCAACACGGAGAAAGUCACGGCAGGUCUUUUCAUGGUCCUCGACAUGGGACCUGAGCAACUUGCAAUAAAAAAGAAACCUGCGUUGGGGAACUCUUUUUUGGACGGCAGAGUCAAAUGUGUUCCCUCCUUACUCUAAAAAGCAGGAAGGAGAAGUGUCUUCUUUCUGGUUUGACCACCUUUCCUGUCUCUGUGGGUCAGCACAGAGCCAGGAAGCUGCAAGCAUCAGGGUUUGCCUUACAAGUUUAAGUGCGUGUGUUAGGCCGCGAAUUAAGCAGCCCGAGUGAAGGAACCAUGUGAGGGAUGGUGUGCUUCCAGACAGCAGUUUUUGGACACAUCUUGCACAAUCUCUGUCAUCGUGAUCUGGGUUUGGGGCAUCAUCCCGUGUUCUCUGAGAUGGAAAUGGCCCAUUUAUGGCCGUGAAUGUUCAUCACCGACGAAAUCUCUAAAGUUCUAAAUGACACGUUCUAGGUGCUUAACGAAGGGUCUCUAGCUGAUCUUUCCCCGACUUAGAAGAGGUGGCUUUUUCAAUUUGAUUUUUAAGCUCCAGGCCCACAAGCAUGAAAUAGUCACACGUGUUAAAAAAUACUGCUGUUUAAUUUUCUAGUCACGUACUUUUAAAAAGCUGAUACAAUUAGACGUUUCCCCCGUCUUCUCAGAUCUGCCCCUGAAACCACCCAAAGGCUGUGCAUCUUAAUUUCCAGCGCUCAUAUAUAUGGAGGAAAAGUCGCUCGGGGGAAGCACAUGAAGAUUUGUCCCCAUGGUGGGCACACCCAAGGGUCACUUGUCCAGAAACGUGAAUGCAACCCUGCGAUGGUCAUGGCUGACUUGCCCUUACAUUCUUUCUUUUCUUUUCUUUUCUUUUUUAAUGAGGAACAAUAUGAUUACACAGCACUGAAAACAAUAAACACAAAAGGCUCACCUUUUUCCUUUUUUGCCCUUCCGGCAAAGUAUUCCAUUCUCACUACUGUCUAUGCCAGCUGAUCCCAGUUACACCCGCCACCCACCCAGAAUUAAAAAUAGUUCUCUUGUCAUCUACUGAUCCUCACAUUUAUAUACAAGUGACUCUGUAAAACUGUAAGAAGAUACAAUACAAUACGUUUCAACUGCAGGUACGUGGAGCACACAAGCAAUCACCGUAUUGUAUUAGAGACGUUUUAUUGAAAAUGCGAAAAUAGGAAAUGUAUUAUAGCCUAAAAUAAAUUACAUAACAUAUACAGUAUAUAUUUAUAUCUUUAAAAUAUUUUUGUGUUUAGGUUCUUUCAGUCUAGAAUUUUGACUAAAUCAAGAAUUUAGUGAACUGUGUCCAUAAUUUUUUAAAGAAAAAACCCGCUUUCCAAAACUUAGAAAAAUAUACUGCA